rnacentral:rRNA from 1 species
GACGAACGCUGGCGGCGUGCUUAACACAUGCCAGUCGAACGGAAAGGCCCUGCUUUUGUGGUGUGCUCGAGUGGCGAACGGGUGAGUAACACGUGAGUAACCUGCCCUUGACUUUGGGAUAACUUCACGAAACUGGGGCUAAUACCGGAUAGGAUCUCCUGCUGCAUGGUGGGCGGUGGAAAGUUUCGGCGGUUGGGGAUGGACGCGCGGCUUAUCAGCUUGUUGGUGGGGUAGUGGUUUACCAAGGCAUUGACGGGUAGCCGGCCUGUGAGGGUGACCGGGCACAUUGGGACUGAGAUACGGAGCAGACGCCUACGGGAGGCAGCAGGGGGGAAUAUGGCACAAUGGGCGGAAGCGUGAUGCAGAAACGCCGCGUGCGGGAUGACGGCCUUCGGGGUGUAAACCGCUUUCGCUUGUGACGAAGCGGUAGUGACGGUAAUGGGUAAAGAAGCACCGGCUAACUACGUG